GACGAACGCUGGCGGCGUGCUUAACACAUGCAAGUCGAACGGAAAGGCCCUGCUUUUGUGGGGUGCUCGAGUGGCGAACGGGUGAGUAACAAGUGAGUAACCUGCCCUUGACUUUGGGAUAACUUCAGGAAACUGGGGCUAAUACCGGAUAGAAGCUCCUGCUGCAUGGUGGGGGUUGGAAAGUUUCGGCGGUUGGGGAUGGACUCGCGGCUUAUCAGCUUGUUGGUGGGGUAGUGGCUUACCAAGGCUUUGACGGGUAGCCGGCCUGAGAGGGUGACCGGCCACAUUGGGACUGAGAUACGGCCCAGACUCCUACGGGAGGCAGCAGUGGGGAAUAUUGCACAAUGGGCGGAAGCCUGAUGCAGCAACGCCGCGUGCGGGAUGACGGCCUUCGGGUUGUAAACCGCUUUCGCCUGUGACGAAGCGUGAGUGACGGUAAUGGGUAAAGAAGCACCGGCUAACUACGUG
rnacentral:rRNA from 1 species